CCGCGGCGGCGGCUCAGCUGGGUGGGGUUUUCUCCGCCGGAAGGGGCAGGGCCGAUCGAAGCCGCGCAGAGGAGAAAUCAACCCCCGGCCCCCGCCUCCGGUCGGCGAUGGCCGCCGGCGACACCGCAACGGUCUUCCUGGAGACGACCCUCGGCACCCGCCUCGUCGUUUCCUUCCCCGCCGGCGCCACCACCGUCGCCGACCUCAAGGGCCGAGUGAGCGCGGAGCACGCCACCUGUUUCCCCCGCACCGGGCCAAUCGCCGUCACAUCCUUGCAGGUUAAGCUAGAUGGCUCCUGGUUUCAGCUCACCGAUUCCAUGGCUGUGAGAGAUGCUUUCGAGUGGGUUAAGGGGCCCUGGCGCCUCCUGGCUGAGGCUCAUGAGCUUCGCUCUCAUCCGCUUGCUCGCAAGGAUGCAAAGUGUGAAACUAGUGAUGCUGAACCAAGUGCCGGCCGGCCUGUCAUCUCCGAUAACUCCACACAGAUGCAGUACUUGAUGCCUCCUGCAGGGUCUCAGGGAGGUGGCAGUCUUGCCUCUGGUGAUGGCGUCAGUGACACCCCACAGAUAAAUCAGCAGGAUAACCCUCAGGAAGGUGAUGAGCAUGCCUCGGGUCAGGGCAAAGAUGAAACUACCAUGCCACAGAAAAGUUCCGAUCUUGAUUUAGCCGCAGGCGACAGAGACACCCUACUGCCCAACCAGGAGGACAAACCUCAGGAAUGUGUUGAGCAUGCUUCUGGUCAGAUCGAGGAUGGAAUUGCCAUGCCUCAAGAAAGUUCAGAUAUUGAUUCAGCCACAGGUGACAGUGGCACCUCACUGGCAAACCAGGAGGACAAACCUCAGGAGUGUGUUGAGCAUGACUCCGGUCAGCUCGAAGAUGGAAUUACCAUGCCUCAAGAAAGUUCAGAUAUUGAUUUAACCACAGGCGACAGUGGCACCCCACUGGCAAACCAAGAGGACAAACCUCAGGAAUGUGUUGAGCAUGCCUCCGGUCAGCUCGAAGAUGGAAUCAGCAUGCCUCAAAAAAGUUCAGAUUUUGACUUAGUAGCAGGCUACAGUGACGCCCCACCAAUGAACCAGCAGGACAAAUCUCAUGAUGCUGUUGACCAUGCCUCUGUUCAGAGCGAAGAUAAGCCUACCAUGCAUCAAGAAAGUUCAGACCUUGAUGCAGCAGCAGGCAGAGGGAAUGGUCCUGUUGGGGGUCAACAAAAGGACAUCAUCACAGAACGAAGAGGGAAGAAACGUUAUAGGGAGGAAGAUAAAACCAACGAAAGCAUCGUUGUAAAAUGUGGUGACGAUCUGUCCUCUCUUGCUAGCUCCACUUGUAAUGCUGAAUCAUCUGAGAAGAAGAGUUGUGUGGCUGAGCAAGCAAAAUUGAACAGUGUCCCCUUGCCAUAUGAUUUGGAAGACCAUUCACAUGGUUUGGGGAAAAAUCCCUCUGGUGGCCAGAAGGAGACCUUGGCAUCUGGUGCACAUAAUGUUGAAAGCAGCAACAAUGAAUCAGAUAUCCCACCUGGGGUUGAGUCCAUGGAAAGAGGAAAGUCUUCGGACAGAGAAGUGAAGACAAAGAGAGGUGACAAAGAACCACGGAUAGCUGGAUGUGGUGGUGCACAUAAUGUUGAAAGCGGCAACAAUGAAUCAGAUAUCCCACCUGGGGUUGAGUCCAUGGAAAGAGGAAAGUCUUCAGACAGAGAAGUGAAGACAAAGAGAGGUGACAAAGAACCACGGAUAGCUGGAUGUGGUGGUGAAAGCAGCUGCAAAAGAACAGAUGACCCACACUGUGUUGAAUCCAUGAAAGAAGAUGUCAAGUGGCCAGUUUCCAAUAGCCAUUAUCUCGACAAAGGGGAAAAUGGAGGGGCCACAUCAAAUGUUAGCAUAGAACGGAUUUGUUUCAGAAGAAGGCACAAGCGGAUUGUUGUGCGCAAAGUGCCUAUAAGCAAGGCAAUAAAGAUAUAUCCUUUCAGGUGUUAAUAUUAUCUCACCUGGAUGAUUUUGCACAAGAACAUGUUGCUGAGAAAGCUGAGGACAAUUGAGAGAAAAUGGCAAAUGCUUUUGAGUACAACCAUGAAUCUGAACCAGUGCAUUUGUGAGCGUUUCAUCAACAGUUGGAACCUGAGCUGUACCCAAGCUGUAUUCAAAUGGUUGUACGUGUAGCAUUGUCACCAAUAAACUCAAUAGCAUCUGCCCCUCUAAACUCAUGAUACAAUGGUGUAGUUCCUGAGGUUAUCUGAGAAACUGAAGAAGCCAACUCAGGUUUGCUGGCACCGGAUAUUCUUCAGUCGUUACCAUUGAUCAUUCAUUUAUUCUCGUGCUCUGUCCUGCGUGUUGCCCACUUUUUGCAUGCCCUAUUUGGUUUUCCAGAGCAUUUACUUUUUGUAGGUAAAGUUCAAGUAAAUCUGCGACAUCCUGGGUUCACAAGUGGAGUUCAGACAAUAUUUUUCAGCAGAUUUCAGCGCUGAUUGGUUAGUUGCAAUGUUGGAUAGUCCUCGUGCAGAAUUCUGCUGCUGUUGUCUUGUGGAGUUCUUCUGGAUGACCAUGGCAAGGUUGAUGCGAAGAACAACUCCGCUCCCACCAGAAGCAGAACCAGGAAUAGUAGUGGGACUCUCCCCAUAUUGCUGUACGGUUUUCAGCUUGAUAUGUCAGUGUCACCUAUAUAUGACCUAUACCAGAAAAUGCUAACAUAAUUACAAGGAGAACAAAAAAUCCGGUACAUCUCUGUAAAUUGAUUGCAUCAUAUAUUGCAGAAUUAUCUAAAAGAAUGUGUGCUGGAAUUAA